UGAAUUCAUAUUGUCGAGUCAUAACCUCAAUAUCUUCAGUCUUGUAAUUGUGGACACAUUUACUGAAGCAACGAUGCUUUUAGGUGGUGGCAUUGUUCUGACUUUCUUUUCAUAUGUUUAUGGCCAGUCUCUGACCUCCUCUGGUCCAGUGGUGAAGAGACCUGGAGAGGCAGUCACUCUGUCCUGCUCUGUGUCUGGGUUUUCCAUGAGCAGCUACUGGAUGCACUGGAUCCGUCAGAAACCAGGAAAGGGACUGGAGUGGAUUGGGUAUAUUGAUACAGGCACUGGCACAACAUUUGCCCAGUCUCUCCAGGGCCAGUUCUCCAUCACCAAAGACACGAACACACUGCACUUACAAGUGAAAAGCCUGAAAGCUGAGGACACAGCUGUUUAUUACUGCGCUCGAGAUACACAGUCACACAAGGGCCUGCAGAGCUGUAUUCAGGCCGAUGAACUUACACAGCCAGCUUCAGUGGUAAUCCAGCCAGGACAACAGUUGACCAUCGACUGCAAAGUCUCUUAUUCUCUGACUAGCUAUCACACAGCAUGGGCUAUUCAGGGACGGUUCACAAUCUCUAGAGAUGAUGGCAAGAGCCAGGUGUAUCUGCAGAUGAACAGCCUGAAGACUGAGGACACUGCUGUGUAUUACUGUGCGAGGGAGUCACAGUGA